rnacentral:sRNA from 1 species
UUUUUGAAGACACCCACCAUCACCAAACUUUUCAACCCGGUCUUCUGGCCGGGUUUUU